rnacentral:lncRNA from 1 species
AGGAGGAUUCCUCGGCGGCAGCGGCGGGAAAGGAGCGCGCGGGGCGAGCGAGGGAGAAAGCCACUAGAUGUUAUAAGCUGAGCAGUGGAGGAGGCUCUGAGAUGGAGGAGGCCACUAGAUGUUAUAAGCUGA